GGGCUCGUGGUUUAGUGGUAUAAUACUCCCUUAGCAUCGUGUGACCAUCGAUGUAUGUCGCUCCGCUGGCAUACACGACUGGUCUCUCAAGCUUGGGAGUGGUCCGGGGUUCGAUUCCCCGCGAGUCCA